rnacentral:hammerhead_ribozyme from 1 species
GCAUUGCUGAGGAAUGCCACAAUAGGACGAAACGGCCGUCCAGUGC